UCGCUUCCUACUUAUUUGUGAGGACAC
rnacentral:sRNA from 1 species